AGAACGAACGCUGGCGGCAGGCUUAACACAUGCAAGUCGAACGGUUGUAGCAAUACAGCAGUGGCGCACGGGUGAGUAACGCGUGGGAACAUACCUUAGAGUUCGGAAUAACAGCGGGAAACUGCUGCUAAUACCGGAUAUUCUCCUCGGAGGAAAGAUUUAUCGCUCUAAGAUUGGCCCGCGUCAGAUUAGCUAGUUGGUGAGGUAAUGGCUCACCAAGGCUCCGAUCUGUAGCUGGUCUGAGAGGACGACCAGCCACACUGGAACUGAGACACGGUCCAGACUCCUACGGGAGGCAGCAGUGGGGAAUAUUGGACAAUGGGCGAAAGCCUGAUCCAGCCAUGCCGCGUGAAUGAUGAAGGCCUUAGGGUUGUAAAGUUCUUUUGCCAGGGAAGAUAAUGACGGUACCUGGAGAAUAAGCACCGGCUAACUUCGUGCCAGCAGCCGC
rnacentral:rRNA from 1 species